UACAUGUGGGGCAAGCGUUGUUCGGAAUUACUGGGCGUAAAGGGCGCGUAGGCGGUGCGGUAAGUCACCUGUGAAAUCUCCUGGCUCAACUGGGAGCUUGCAGGCGAAACUGCCGUGCUGGAGUGUGGGAGAGGUGCGUGGAAUUCCUGGUGUAGCGGUGAAAUGCGUAGAUAUCAGGAGGAACACCUGUGGCGAAAGCGGCGCACUGGACCACAACUGACGCUGAGGCGCGAAAGCGUGGGGAGCGAACAGG
rnacentral:rRNA from 1 species